GCACCGGGUGUGGGAGGGGGGUGGGGGGUGGGGGUGGGGGGUAUCGGGGAAACUGGGGAAGAUGGGAGAGCUGGAGGAGAGUCGUGGGGUCCGAGGAGCACCUCGGCAUCUGGAGUCUGGCAGGAAUGUUGAAGGACUGAGGGGCUAGCUCAGGCAGAGCAAAGGCAUCGCAAAGGCUGGAAAACAUCGGAGUGAAGCUGAAGGGCCUGAGCUAGGGUUGGAGAGGAAUGGGGAGCCAGACAUUCAUCCCGGUUACUUUUGGUUACAGGACGUGGCGGCUGGUCGGAUAAAGGGGAGCUGCUGGGAAGGGUUCGACCCCAGACCUGGGCAGUGAAGGUAUAGCUGGCAGCAGUGGGCAGGUGAGGACCGCCGUCUGCUGGGCAGGUGAGUCUCCUUCUUCUCUCUUGGCCUCGCUCCACUGACCUUCUAAACGAAGGUUUAGAGAGGGGGCCUGGUGAGAAGAAGCGGCUGGCCUCGCAGCAGAAUGGCACAUAGAAAGGCAGGAUAGUUAGCAAAGGAGACAUCGUCUCGGGGGGAGCCGAGACAGAAGGAGGCUGGGGGACCAUUGGCGACCCCAGUACCCACCUGUCGUCCAUCUCCGUCUGAGGGCAACUGGGUGUGGCCGUGUGCUUGAGGCCUCGCCUUCCCCUCGCCUAGUCUGGAAGCAGUUCCAUCAUAAAGUGUUCAACAUGCCCUACUUCAUCCUUUGCCCCUCCUCACCAGGGCCUCACCAGAGGUCCUGGGUCCAUCAAUAAAUACAGUUACAGUCA
rnacentral:lncRNA from 1 species